CUGUCACGCCCCGAGUUCCGCCUAUUUGGUCGGAUUCGGGCUCGUCGACAGACCGCCGAACGGACAGAGCCUCCCCUGUACGUUCUAGGCGUCAACAAUCUAAACAAUGCAAUACAAGAGGUUCCAAACAGGAACUGUAGCAAGUAUGUAGAUUGCAUAUGUAUCGAAAACAUAAAGUGCAAACUAUGCUAUUACAAGCAUUCAUCUCAGAAUUUUUACUUUUACAAUAUUACAUAAGCCUUUAAAUUAUUACAACUUAUACAUUUUUACUACAAUUUCGUUUUUUUCAAUUUGAACUUUGA
rnacentral:lncRNA from 1 species